CCUACGGGCGGCAGCAUUAGGGAAUCUUCCGCAAUGGGCGAAAGCCUGACGGAGCAACGCCGCGUGAGUGAUGAAGGUCUUCGGAUCGUAAAACUCUGUUAUUAGGGAAGAACAAAUGUGUAAGUAACUAUGCACGUCUUGACGGUACCUAAUCAGAAAGCCUUGGCUAACUACGUGCCAGCAGCCGCGGUAAUACGUAGGUGGCAAGCGUUAUCCGGAAUUAUUGGGCGUAAAGCGCGCGUAGGAGGUUUCUUAAGUCUGAUGUGAAAGCCCACGGCUCAACCGUGGAGGGUCAUUGGAAACUGGGAAACUUGAGUGCAGAAGAGGAAAGUGGAAUUCCAUGUGUAGCGGUGAAAUGCGCAGUGAUAUGGAGGAACACCAGUGGCGAAGGCGACUUUCUGGUCUGUAACUGACGCUGAUGUGCGAAAGCGUGGGGAUCAAACAGGAUUAGAUACCCUUGUAGUC
rnacentral:rRNA from 1 species